AAAUACGAAAAAAAGAUAGUUUUGGUAAUGUCAAUGGAAUUAUUUAUGAUGUCUCUGUAGAUUAAAGGGUGGCCACUAAACUUCAGUUUUGGAACUCCCGUCUUUUUUCCCGGUAGGACUUUUCAACUUUUCCCGGUUUUUCAAAAUGGACAUUUUUGGAGUAUGUAAUUGGCUUCUUUAACGGUGUUGAGAUAAUUCGAUAUUCUGAAUCUGCAUGUCAAACUGAGCCGAAAUCCAAAUUUUCAUGAAUUUCGGUGCCUGGGAGCCCAUUUAAUAAUUAAUUUGAAGUUUGUAUGGGAGCGAUUUGUCGAAUCACCCCUCGUCGCAGUUUGUUCUGGGCGGAGCUGUCAAACAGUUGCCCAACUGUCAAAAAGUGAUUUCUAAAAAUCUCUUUGAAAUUGAUUUUAGGUGCCAAAAUAAUGUUCUAAAAAUCUGAAAAAAGUCAUAGUGGCUCAGAAAAAGGUGCUCUUUCGUAUAAAAUCAAAAAAACGAUACAAUUUUCAAAAUUUAAAAACCCAAUUAUUGAACUAGCAGUGAUCGCCCCGAAGAAUAGCAGAUUAAUUGGCAGCACUGCCAUAAACCAAAGUACAUCGAGUGUUUUGCUGUAAUAUUUUUAUUUAUAUGCACCUACUUUAGUAUUAAGCCAUCCGUUUCUGAUGAAACAUCGAAUAAACGUUCCGUAGUCUAUAGCACUAUUCCGUGUUUCUUUUGUGCAAUAAGGCACGUUCGGUGUAGUACUAGAUUUGUAGUAAUGAGCUGAAUUUUAGUAUGGUGAGAAGGUCAAUUCGGCACCUACAUUUCAAAAGGGCGUAACUGCAUGUUGAAAUCAGGCACGUGAUAUUGGAGAUAAGCACUGUCGCUGGAAGGUGGCAGCAGCUCUUCCUCUCUGGAGCCACCAUAUGUUGACGACGGGGCACUUACACUCCGUGUGGUGUUUCUGUCAGCUGCCGCGACGAUCACUUGGCGAUGACGACGACGACGAUGAUGGUAAUCACACCACAUCAGAUGCACGGUACCGUUGCGAAGGGAGACGGUAUUCGAUUCCGCGUGUGCCGAUCAACAGGCAAGAGAAACGCACUGAAUAAACUGUCGACGACCGAAACUACUUACUGAUACUCGGAGGAUUGAGUGGUAGAUAAUUAAAAUCGAUUGGUCCAAAUCGAAUAUGGGAGCAAUCAACUGGCCUUCCUAGAUCCGGUCAAAUUCUUUCGCAUUCGAAGACGUGACUUAGUCGGAUGAGGAAAAGUUGAUCGCAAUGCAUUUAUAUUUUUUCUAGACUCAUGCCAAAGUUACUCGCAUUCGGAACCGUGGCGUA